ACUAUGCUUGGCCCUAAACCUCAGUAGUUAGAUAACAAAACUACUCGCCAGAAUACUACAAGCAACAGCUUAAAACUCAAAGGACUUGACGGUGCUUUACAUCCCCCUAGAGGAGCCUGUUCCAUAAUCGAUAAACCCCGAUCCACCCCACCCUCUCUUGCUCAGCCUAUAUACCGCCAUCUUCAGCAAACCCUAAUGAAGGCUACAAAGUGAGCGCAAACGCCACUGCCGCGAAUACGUUAGGUCAAGGUGUAGCCCAUGAGACGGUAAAAAAUGGGCUACAUUUUCUAUUUCAGAAAACCCCCACGAAAACCCUUAUGAAACUUAAGGGUCCAAGGAGGAUUUAGCAGUAAAUUAAGAAUAGAGUGCUUAAUUGAACCAGGCCAUAAAGCGCGCACACACCGCCCGUCACUCCUCUCAAAUAUAUUUAAGGAAUAUCCUAACUAAACGCCCUAACAUUUAUAUAGAGAGGAUAAGUCGUAACAUGGUAAGCGUACUGGAAGGUGCGCUUGGAUAAAU
rnacentral:rRNA from 1 species